CCGUUCUCAUCGGGGUGUCGGCGCUGCCGGCUGAGAGUUACCCGCAGAACCUGAUCCGGAUCAUGCCGGCGGAGGGAUUGAGGCAUUCUCUACC
rfam:Cardiobacterium hominis ATCC 15826 genomic scaffold SCAFFOLD2, whole genome shotgun sequence.